GCGUUGAUGGUGUAGUGGUUGCACAGCCAGAUCAAAGACUUCUCUGGCUUGCCCUGGUUCGAUUCCAGGUCGAUGCC